ACAGAUGUACUCAUGGAGAAAUCGUAAGUGACCUAGUUUCUUCUAACAUUUAUUUAUAAGUACAAACCAUUUAAAUAGCCAUACUGACUUUGCAUACUCAUUUUAUUUUAUUUUUGUUUAUUUUCAGGAAAAUUUGAGAUGUCUUCCUACUAAAUGGCCUCGUUGUAAAUGGCCAUGUCUGCAGAAAGGAUUUGAAGAUCUGAAUAAUACUAAAAAUAUAUUAGACAGCACUUGCACUGAGAAAAUCAACACCAUCUACUACAGGAUUGAACAAAUAAAACUGAAAGAUGAUUGCCAAUACAUCGUCAGUAAUGCAACAUGUGAGAAUACUACUACUGGGAACAUCGGAGAAUUUUUAACUGAAGCCAAAAAUUAUCUUCAAUCACUGGCAACAAACAAGUCAAUAAAUCAAUGCUAAAUUAAUAUUAUUUAUUAUAUUUAUCAUAUAAAGCUAUAUAUCUUAUGUCAUAUGUAUUUUUUGGUAAAAACGACAAAUUUAUUCACAAAAGAAUAAAGCUACAUAAUCUUUUUUCAACUCUAAUUUAUUAUUCAGCUGAAAAAUUCAAAAGAACAAAUAUGCCUGCAUUUAGAAAUAAUAUGUAUUUUGCUUUGAAAAGGUUUUCUCUUUCCUAACUGUCCUUCUGGAGUAUGACCAUCAGUUGCUGUAGUGAAAGGGCCAAGAUGUGAAAAUAAUACCAGACUAGGAAAAAAAUGACCUGAUAGGGAAUGUCAGCUUACAAUAUACAAUACUCUUUCCUAUAUGCAAUGCACUAAUAUAAGCCUCUGUAUGUCCCUGUGCUCCUACAUGGGUUAGGUGAGGCUGCUACUCUCACCUCGUACACGAACACAUUAUAAUUAUACAAUAGGAGAGUAGCGCUGGAGAAUGAAGAGAUGUCUUUUUCCUUUUUAAUUUUCCUCCUCCUCAAAAAUCCCGGUAGAUUUUUUUAAAAAAAAUGUCAGCAAUCUCAAUAGGCUGGUUCCCUCUUCUUCUGCUACUCUUCCAGUUUUGUGAAUUAUUGGCUUUCAGUCUAGCAUUCUAGACUAUAAAGUGUGGGGGUAGGGGAUGGGAAGGGAAGGGAAAUGUUGAACUGUAGGAAAGAAGGCUACCCUUGAGAGUAUUAUGCUUUUCUUUACAUCCCCACCCCCCAUAUAAAUGAACCCUGAUUACAAAGCUCUCCUCUUCCUCUUCCAUGGGAAGAACAUGCAGCCAUACUUCAGAAACCUACAAAAGAGGGAAACAUUAAUUCAGGGAGUUUACCACAUCACUGUAGUGAUGUGCAAAUACCUAAAUUCUUCAGAAGCCAUAUCCUUUGCUAUUUGGUUUCCUGAAAUGUUUCAAAACUGAGCGAUAGAGCAUGAACUCAUCUCAAGGUGAUUUCACAAGGUGAUUUUAUUGGAUGAAUGAUGAAAGCAAGCUGGCUCUGCUAUUGCGAGGAGUUGAGCCUUUUA